rnacentral:rRNA from 1 species
UACAGAGGUCCCAAGCGUUGUUCGGAUUCACUGGGCGUAAAGGGUGCGCAGGUGGUUUGGCAAGUUUGACGUGAAAGCCCCGGGCUUAACCCGGGAAUGGCGUUGAAAACUGCUUGAACUGGAGGGUCGGAGGGGGGACUGGAAUUCUUGGUGUAGCAGUGAAAUGCGUAGAUAUCAAGAGGAAACACCAGUGGCGAAGGCGAGUCCCUGGACGAUACCUGACACUGAGGCACGAAAGCCAAGGGAGCAAACAGG